GCCGCGGUAGCUCAGCCUGGGAGAGCGUCAGACUGAAGAUCUGAGUGCCGAGGGUUCGAAUCCCUCCCGCGGCA
rnacentral:tRNA from 1 species